rnacentral:rRNA from 1 species
CCUACGGGAGGCAGCAGUGGGGAAUUUUGGACAAUGGGGGCAACCCUGAUCCAGCAAUGCCGCGUGAGUGAAGAAGGCCCUCGGGUUGUAAAGCUCUUUUGUCAGGGAAGAAACGGUCUACUCUAAUACAGUGGGCUAAUGACGGUACCUGAAGAAUAAGCACCGGCUAACUACGUGCCAGCAGCCGCGGUAAUACGUAGGGUGCAAGCGUUAAUCGGAAUUACUGGGCGUAAAGCGUGCGCAGGCGGUUUUAUAAGACAGAGGUGAAAUCCCCGGGCUCAACCUGGGAACUGCCUUUGUGACUGUAAGGCUAGAGUGUGUCAGAGGGGGGUAGAAUUCCACGUGUAGCAGUGAAAUGCGUAGAUAUGUGGAGGAAUACCGAUGGCGAAGGCAGCCCCCUGGGAUAACACUGACGCUCAUGCACGAAAGCGUGGGGAGCAAACAGGAUUAGAUACCCUGGUAGUCCACGCCCUAAACGAUGUCUACUAGUUGUCGGGACUUAAUUGUCUUGGUAACGCAGCUAACGCGUGAAGUAGACCGCCUGGGGAGUACGGUCGCAAGAAUUAAAACUCAAAGGAAUUGACGGNNGNGAGNGCGAGACGACGACGAGGAGGAGG